AAUCGGUCAAGUAAAAUAUGUCGGAUUCGUCAAUUUCUGUACAAUGUGAUGAUAUACUUGACGAAUCCGACAUAUUUUACUUGACCGAUUUAU
rnacentral:pre_miRNA from 1 species